UACGGAGGGGGCGAGCGUUAUUCGGAAUUACUGGGCGUAAAGCGCGCGUAGGUGGCUUGAUAAGCCGGUUGUGAAAGCCCCGGGCUCAACCUGGGAACGGCAUCCGGAACUGUCAGGCUAGAGUGCAGGAGAGGAAGGUAGAAUUCCCGGUGUAGCGGUGAAAUGCGUAGAGAUCGGGAGGAAUACCAGUGGCGAAGGCGGCCUUCUGGACUGACACUGACACUGAGGUGCGAAAGCGUGGGUAGCAAACAGG
rnacentral:rRNA from 1 species